UGGGGAAUUUUGGACAAUGGGCGAAAGCCUGAUCCAGCAAUGCCGCGUGUGUGAAGAAGGCCUUCGGGUUGUAAAGCACUUUUGUCCGGAAAGAAAUGGCUCUGGUUAAUACCUGGGGUCGAUGACGGUACCGGAAGAAUAAGGACCGGCUAACUACGUGCCAGCAGCCGCGGUAAUACGUAGGGUCCAAGCGUUAAUCGGAAUUACUGGGCGUAAAGCGUGCGCAGGCGGUUGUGCAAGACCGAUGUGAAAUCCCCGAGCUUAACUUGGUAACUGCAUUGGUGACUGCACGGCUAGAGUGUGUCAGAGGGGGGUAGAAUUCCACGUGUAGCAGUGAAAUGCGUAGCGAUGUGGAGGAAUACCGAUGGCGAAGGCAGCCCCCUGGGAUAACACUGACGCUCAUGCACGAAAGCGUGGGGAGCAAACAGG
rnacentral:rRNA from 1 species